rnacentral:rRNA from 1 species
CAACCUGCCUCUAAGAUGGGGACAACAGCCCGAAAGGGCUUGCUAAUACCGAAUGACAUAAGUAUCUCGCAUGAAGUACUUAUCAAAGAUGGCCUCUGCUUGUAAGCUAUCACUUAGAGAUGGGCCUGCGUCUGAUUAGCUAGUUGGUGGGGUAACGGCUCACCAAGGCGACGAUCAGUAGCCGGUCUGAGAGGAUGAACGGCCACAUUGGGACUGAGACACGGCCCAGACUCCUACGGGAGGCAGCAGUGGGGAAUCUUCCGCAAUGGGCGAAAGCCUGACGGAGCAACGCCGCGUGAGUGAAGAAGGUCUUCGGAUCGUAAAGCUCUGUCGAAGGGGACGAAUGUGGGUUCUAUCAACAACGGAACCUAAUGACGGUACCUUUCAAGAAAGCCACGGCUAACUACGUGCC